GUGCUCACUUCAGCAGCACAUACACUAAAAUUGGAACAAUACAGGGAAGUAUGGCCUCUGCGCAGGGAUGACAUACAAAUUCAUGAAGCAUUCCAUAUUUUU
rnacentral:snRNA from 1 species